AACGCACCUUGCACUCUCCAGUAUUCUGGAGAGUAUGCCUGGUUGAGUGUUUUGACUUCCUCAACUCCCUUGGCUUCUUUGCCUUGGGCAGCUUGGAGAUGGACGUCUGCUGGCUCUCGCAGCCGGCUCGUCCGAAAUACAUCGUGGCCGCUCCUGCAAGGAGCUGGGAACAUGACGUUGUAGGUUCAUCCACCCCGUUGUCGACCCUUCUCUCUUGUGGCCAUCAAACCUGCCGUCGGCUUAGCAGCCUUCGUCACUCUGACCAUUACACCUCAACUCAGGCAAGACUACCCGCUGAACUUAA
rnacentral:misc_RNA from 1 species